rnacentral:tRNA from 1 species
GGCCUAAAAGUACUAAAUUGCAAGUUUAGUUUUGGAAAUGAGGUUUCGUAGGCUU